rnacentral:lncRNA from 1 species
GGCGCCCGCACACAAAGCCCCUUUCACGGACUCGGGCUCGACUUCUGCUGCUCCGGAGGUUUGGUUAACCCCGUGGCAUGUCAGGGGAACAACUGAUCACCCCUCUGGUGUGCUGGCACUGGGGUUCAAGGUACUCAGGCACCCUCAAGUCACAGGAGUUUAUCAUGAAGAAGGCUGUAAGGCCAAGAACUAAGGCCAACAGGUAAAGGUGCGGGGUGCCCACAGCAGCAGGCCUUCCUGUCUGGAAGGGAGGUGCUGCCCCGCCCUCAACCCACUCGAGCCUUGGAUACUGUCUGGGGUUUCUUGGCAAGUAGAGUUUUUAGACUCUGCCGUUAAUGGUCCCCAGCUACUCACCAAAGCUGCUUCUCUGUCUUCCGGCUUCUGCUCCUGCCACACACUGAGCACAUCUGGGGAAAGCACCUCACAGGGUCAGAGAAGUGCAAAUGCCUACAACGUCAGUCACCUGUCUCAUCGCGUCCUGUUCUUUGUAGCCAUUGCGCUCCUAUGGAUACCCUAA